rnacentral:rRNA from 1 species
GUGCCAGCCGCCGCGGUAAGACGUACCACCCAAACGUUAUUCGGAAUCACUGGGCUUAAAGGGUCCGUAGGCGGCCAAGAAAGUUGGGUGUGAAAUACCUCAGCUCAACUGAGGAAUAGCGCUCAAAACUACUUGGCUCGAGAAAGACAGAGGUGAGCGGAACUGAUGGUGGAGCGGUGAAAUGCAUUGAUAUCAUCAGGAACACCGGUGGCGAAAGCGGCUCACUGGGUCUUUUCUGACGCUGAUGGACGAAAGCUAGGGGAGCGAACGGGAUUAGAAACCCCUGUAGUCC